AGGACGAACGCUGGCGGCGUGCUUAACACAUGCAAGUCGAGCGGAAAGGCCCUUCGGGGUACUCGAGCGGCGAACGGGUGAGUAACACGUGAGCAACCUGCCCCUGGCUCUGGGAUAGCCUCCGGAAACGGGGAUUAAUACCGGACAUGACCCUUGACCGCAUGGUUGGGGGUGGAAAGUUUUUCGGCCAGGGUGGGGCUCGCGGCCUAUCAGCUUGGUUGGGGGGGUGACGGCCCACCGAAGGCGACGGACGGGUAGCC
rnacentral:rRNA from 1 species